CUCGUCGUCGCCGGUCUGUCCGCGAAAUUACGAGUGAGAAUGUACUAAUUAAUGUCAUUACAUCGUUAAUUAUUGUAUACGUCUAAUCGCGUCGCGUGUCGCAACAUCGUAAUCGCGUUCGUACGCGCGAAAUUGAGCUCGUCGGCCGCGAAUCUCGCUCAUUCAACUUCGCUUCGUUCUUCGCUCCUUGACGUGACGUGACAGCGGCGACUCGAACCGCCAAAAGUUUGCGCGCGCGAAUUUGCGAGGCAUAUCGCAAGAAUUACGCGGACGCUUUUGGCGCGAAUUUCGGGAGUUUUUCGGCGUUGUUGAUUGAAUUCUAAGCGGGAGAUUGUACAUUUCCGGUAGUAAUUUCGCAUCAUCCUGUCAAAGUAGCAUCACGCGACGAAUAAAGCUCGUAAUUUUGGAAUAAAAUGUGACGCGAGUGCAAGUGUGUUUUAUUGGAGCAUCUUUUAUGAGGAAGAAACUCGGUGGCAUCGAACAACGGCGGAUCAACUAUAUGUUUACAUAACACCACUGCUGCGCAUCGUAUCGUUCAGAUAUCAGAGAUAGCUGCCCGAUCGAACUGCCGGAUAUCGCAACGUAAACAUAACGAGAGAACGAGGAAGGAAGGAAGGAAGGAAGGAAGGAAGGAAAGGAAAAGAAGAGAGGAAAGGAAGCGAGGACAGACGCUGUCUAGCGCUGCCGUGACUCGCAGUGAUACAAUCGCGUUUACAGGCCAACUCGCGGGCUGCCAGCAUACAGAUUGGCGUCCAGAAUAGUCGUAACUUUGGCAUCUGACAUAAGUUAAGUAUACGUAGAACUUCGUCGCGGCGACGCACCCCAAAACCGGAAGACGCGACUUUACGACGACUUAGGGCGACGCGAGCUUCAACGGUUUUCAUGUGCAUCACCGUGUCGACGAUGUACGUACAACGAAAAACCAGCAUCGGAGAGUGGCGGUUGGCAGGUGCCCUAACGACCAUUUAUCGUUUGGUCUAACCAGAAGGCCGUGACCAUGAUGAUGUAAGAAUAUCUGAUAUACCUACACUUAUUUGUGUGUAUUUGUGUGUAUAAGGGCGCUUUAAAUUCAGACGGUACCGGACGUUACAUCGCGCACACCGACAUCGCGAAACAGUACAUUAAUAUGUCGUGCAUGGAUUACUCCCACGCAAUCCUCGGAUUUUCAUUUCAUUUAUAUUUCAAUACCGUUAAGCUACUUUUGUUCACAGCAUUAUUAUGCGCGCGUAUGUGGUCUGUAUUUUCAUAAUAAAAUAUAUCGUCGCACAUAUAUAUAUAAAUGUAAAGUAUAGUAGAGCGAAAAUUUUCCUAUAAUAAUGUAUAUGGUAUACGAGAAUUUCAAAAUCAAAAUAUAAUAUUGUGUUUAAUAAUAACUGA